rnacentral:ncRNA from 1 species
GAAUUUCGAACUUCCUUUAAACAUAAAGGUUUGGUCCCAGCCUUAAAAUCAGUUACUUCUUAAUUUACACAUGCGAGUUUCCGCACCCCGGUGAAAACGCCCUGACUCCUCAUUCAGGUAAAGGAGCUGGCAUCAGGCACGACAUUCUGCCCACAACGCCUAGCAAUCGCCACACCCACAAGGGUCCUCAGCAGUGAUAGAUAUUGAAUAUGAGUGCCAACUUGAUUCAGUUAAAGAAAAUAGAGUCGGCAAACUUAGUGCCAGCCGCCGCGGUUAUACCUUGGGACUCAAAUUGAUUUUUGUCGGCGUAAAAUGUGAUUUAAGAUACAAUUCUACUAGAGUUAAAUUAACACUAAGUUGUAACAAGCAAUGUGCUAAGAAAAUCAAACACGAAAGUUACUCUACUUCUCCUUGAACUCACGAAAACUUGGGCACAAACUAGAAUUAGAUACUCUACUAUGCCAAGUAGUAAACUUUAACUUACACCAAAAUCGCCAGGGAACUACGAGCUUAGCUUAAAACCCAAAGGACUUGACGGUACCCUACACCCCCCUAGAGGAGCCUGUCCCGUAAUCGAUAAUCCUCGUUUAACCUCACCACUUUUAGUUAUCAGUUUGUAUACUUCCGUCGUCAGCUUACCGCGUGAGUGAUAUCUCGUAGGCUUAAUGUUUAUCCAACAAUACGUCAGGUCAAAGUGCAGCUAAUAAAGUGGGAAUAAGAUGGGCUACACUUUCUAAGAAUAGAAGAUACGAAAGAUUAACAUGAAAUCUUAAUCUGAAGGUGGAUUUAGUAGUAAAAAGAGAAUAGAGUGCUCUUUUUAAUUCGGCAAUAGGGUGCGUACACACCGCCCGUCACCCUCUUCGCACAUUCUAUCUAGUAAUUAACAAUUUCUAAUAUAAAAGAAGAGGCAAGUCGUAACAUGGUAAGUGUACCGGAAGGUGUACUUGGAAACGUUCUAU